AAGGAGCGAACCGUUUCAGGAGGAAUACGGGAGGAAGACAAUUAUUUGCAGAGGUGUCAGGUUUGCUAAUCCUGUCCCCAGUGAGCAAGAUACCUUUGCAAGGGGAUUUGAUGCAGAUGAUCAUCAUGGCUUGGAGAAACAAUGAAGGAAGCAAAGUAUGCCAUCUAUGCUGCGGGAGGUAACUCCAGAAGACCCCAGAGAGAACGAGUUUGGACUUUUAACUGAGGGCCAUUGGAAACUACUGAAGAGUUUUAGGCAGCAUAAGAACUACUAGAUUUUCAUUGUGGGAGGAUCCUCAGCAGCAGCCUCAGAAAGGAGAUUGGGGAAGGAGAUCCCUAGUCAGGGAGACCAAGAAGACUACUGGAAAAAAACAGGUAAGAAGUGAUAAGGGACUGAGUGAAGGACACAGCAGUUGGAAUAAGAGCACUGGGUGGAUUCAAGAAUUAUUUUAGAAUCUAUAGGACUUGGUCAAUGGGAGGGUAAGGGAGAGGUGUGGCUGGGCUGAUUUCUAUGUUUCCAGGUCGUGCAGCUGGGGAUGUGGUUUCAACAUGCAGAUCUAAGCAUAUCCCCAUUCCAUCCUGAGCUGCAUCACUCCCAGGCUGGGUUGGGUGCCUCUCUGGUGUAAGCCAUAUCACUCUUUGCCUAUCUCAGUCUAAUACUACACUUAACACGUUUCAUUGCAAUUUUUUUGGCAGGGGAAUCCUCAAGGACCUGCAAACAAGAAACCAAAUCCCCCCACUCCCCCCAGCCAAAAUGUGUUCAUUUUGACCAGCUGUGUGUGUGUUUUAAAUUAAAAGUUUGAAUUAGAAAGCAAGUAGGAUAAAUUUAUAUACUUAGAUGUAUAAAUUUAAAUACCUGGCCCCUGAAGCACUUCUGAUAGGUCUCAGCUACCCAAACAAGAAGAACGGAAUCUUUGAAUCCCCAGGACUCAACGCAGUACUGGACACAAAAUGGGAGCUGAAAAAGUGUGUGUGGAGUCAGUGAAGGAUGCAAUUUCCCCUCAUUGUAGAGAUGAAGAAGCUGAGGCUGCAGAGUAGAAUAGGAGCAGACAGUGGGGAUUGUCUUCAAAGUAGGUUCCUAGUUCCUGGCUCAGAGGUCCCAGUUUUUGUUGACCAUGGACAGUAAAACUCCCUGGGGAAGCGGGCCCAGUCUCAGGAGAGCAGUUUUGAUUGGUCUAAGUUUGUGAUUGACUUAGGAACUGUCUGGCCAAUGAAAUAUGAGGGAAAGCCUGGGGGAUUCUGGGAAAGGUUUUGUAAACCAAAAAGUAUUUGAGACAUGUCUCAAUUUUAGAGGAUUAUUUUGCCAAGGUUAAGGACCAUUGCCCAUACAGCCUCAGGAGGCCCUGAGAACAUAUACCCAAGGUGGUUGGGGUACAGCUUCAUUUUAUACAUUUUAGGGAGUCAGAAGUUACAGGCAAAGACAUAAAUCAAUACAUGCAAGGUAUACAUUGGUUUGGCCCAGAGAGGUGGAACAUCUAGAAGCAGGAGCUUCCAGGUCAUAAGUGGAUUCAAAGAUUUCCUGAUUGGCAGUUUGUUGACAGAGUUAAGCUCCGCCCCAAGAGUUGAUGUCAGCUUAAAUUAAGGUAAGGGGGUGCUUUGUGGAAACCAACGUUCUUAUCAUGUAUAUGAAGCCUCCAGGCUUCAGCGAGAAUAGAUGUGAAUGUCUUUUAUUGGACCUUAAAAAUUGUCAGACUUUCUGGAAAAGACCUAAUAAGGGAAUCUUUACAGAACAUAAUUUUUUCACCCACAAGUGACAGCUUGGCAGGGCCGUUUCAAAAUAUGUAAAGAAAUAUAAUUUGAGGUAAAAUAAUUUGAUUUCCUUCAGGGCCCACUGGCUGUCACGUGAUGUUAUACCAGAGUCAGAUUGGAAUCUGUUGUCUUACUGCUACCAAGAUUUUGUCUUGACAGUCUUAAGAUUCCUGUUUUAAUGUCAGUUCUGGUCAGUUGUGUCUAAACUCAAAAGGAAGGAGGGUAUAAUGAGGCAUGUUUCACCCCCUCUUUCCCAUCAUGGCCUGAACUAGUUUUUCAGGUGUUUUUUUGAAUCCCUUUGGCCAAGGGGGAUCCAUUCAGUCAGCUGAGGGGCUUAGAAUUUUAUUUUUGGUUUAUAGUUUCCUCUUGAUUAAAGAAGGAAGUCUGCAAUGUGGGUUUGUAACCUAGUUUUUAAUAACUUUACAUCAGACUUGUAAUUUAUUGUUACUUUCUGAAGACACACUGAUAAAACCUCUCUACCAUGACGUCAUUGCAUGUUUUCACGGUAGAAAUUCUAAUUAUUUGCUAAAGUGAAAAUAAAGUCAAACAUGCCUAAGUCUUUAUCUGCUUAACCACAUUAGCUAUGGUGUGAUCAUGGAAAAAGGGCACACAUCAAGACAUAGUUUUAAAAGAAUUAUUAGAAUGUUGACUACCAGAAUAAUAUUGACCCAGGAUGAACUUCUUUUUUUAUUUUUUCAUUUCUGCUUUUUUGUUAUUGGUGUUUAUAACUUCCUCAGAGAUUCACCAUGGGGUUACCUCAUACAAGAGACUACCUUCAGGUACAGAUUUUCAUCACCAUACUUUCUGUAGGUGCCCCUGGCAGUCAGAGGUUACCACAAACAAAAAGUACUUUGGUGAGUAGUGUUAUAGUGAGAUUCUGAUAACUCAUUCAUCAGAGCCUCUCACUUAAGUACGAAGAUAAGUACCAGAGUUACAAUCUUGAGCAAAAGCAAAGUCCCUGUCUUCAUCUGUGUUACAGAAAAGACAGGCCUUAAGCACACACUCACCAAAAAAGCAAAGACAUUAGUGCAUACUUCAAAAUGCAUAAAAUAUAAGACCCCCUAGUGCCAUGAGAGUACAUACCAGGCUGACCUGGCCUAAAUAUAAGUUUCAUCAGAGGAAGUGGUAUUUAAACUGAGUUCUGAAUAUUGAAUAGAAGUUAAUUAAGGUUGGAGUAGAUGUAGAAGAGGUAUUCACAGUGUAUCUCAUAUCAUAAAUAUGGUAGGUAAUUCAUAAAUACUUGUUGAUUGAAAGAAUGAAUUGAACCUAUCCCCCCAGUAGGGCAAAUCAAGUGUAAGGAAAAUUAUUCACUGGAACAAACCAUUGGAGAAAGUUUAGGCCAGUUUGUCUAAUCAUCAGUCUUUCACAAUAAUUUGUUACAGACCAGAGGCUCCCCAUGUAAUAAAAAUUAACAUGGAGCCAAGCAGAUUCCUCAGACAAGGCUUUUAUCUGGUGUUUGUGCUUGAGUGCAAGGGAGACAGCAGAGGCACAAGGACCUUCUGGUGACUCUCUGAAAAAGAGCUGGUAGGGAUUUUUUAUGAGACAAAGUGCUGGAAUUGACAAUAGGGGUAAGAUAUGCAGGCUGGGCUGGACAAAGCAUGUGAGGGGUAGGGUAUGUAGCAUAGCGCGUUGCUAUGUUUUUCUUGAGUAAUGGGCCAACUGGUUAUCUGGGAGCAGCAAAGAGGGUUUAAAUCAGAUUUUCGGCAUUCCUUCCCAGGUAGGACACUCUGCAACCUUGGUUUGAUUUUGGAUCCCCCAAAGCCAGUUUCUGAAAUUCUGUAAGUAAAAGACAUGGUUAAACAUUAUGAGAGCAAAGAAGAAUGGCUGUGUUCUUUGUGUGACUAAAGCCUUGGAGUUAGCAGGUAUAGCAUCAGUGAGGUAGUGGUGUGGGUUUUGUGGUCAGUGGGAAUGUAUGAAAGAAUGCUCUACUGGGGGCAAGCUGAAGCCAAGCCCAGUUCUUGCGCUUUCUCAAAUUGACCACAUGAGAGUAAUCCCUUUCUCUUUACGAUUCUUUCUCUCUCGUGAUGGAGUACUUUCUUCAAACACAUACCCAAGAUACUCUUGUUGUCUAUUUUUUUUUUUCGUUUUAUUUUGGUCAACAAAGAGGGGAAAAUAUAGCAUCAGCAGCUGCCACUACCAGUAAUAACUGUGUGUGCAGGAGUGAAACGCACCCCACGUGAAUAAACUUCCUGUUAGGCACUAAUAUUUUUUGAGCACCUACUAAUUAUGAUAUGGAGGGGGAUGGUGCAUGGCUGCCUAGAAAUUUGAUAGGCUGUAAUCAGAAUGACCCCAAGUAUUGGACAUAAUUUCAAGAAUGGAGCUGAGUUUAGCAAAAUUAUAACAGUCAUAUUAUCUAACAUGUAUUAAAUCCUCAUGUGCCAUAUACUGUCCUAAGCACACUAUAAAUAUCAUUUUUUUAAAAUAAGUAUCACAAUAGCCAUGUGAAUUGGGUACUAUUAUUAUCCUCAUAUUCCAGAUUAGGGAACUGGAGCUUAUAGAGGCUCAUUAGCUUAUCCAAGUUCACACAGUGGAUAAUAGUGUCACUGACAUUUGAACACAGGUCUGGAUGGCUCCAGAACUUACUGUGGUAUAAAACAAAAUAUAUUUGGUCUUUGUCCCAAUUCCUGUCAGAGAUCCUGAAACACUCAAAAUUUCCCGGAGUGUGGGGAAAAAAAGGAGUGUUUUGUUAUUCAUAAUGGCCUCUUUUUAUCAUACCUGACUUUAUGCUAAUAAGUUGACUUGUGGUGGGCCCCCUGUGAUAGACUCAGGAUAGGGCCAGACAUCAGAAAAAUCAAGUGAUUAGGGAAUUAGAGGGUUGGAAAUUUCAGCCUCACCCACCAACCUCCAGGAAAGGGGUGGGGGCUAGAGAUUAAGCUCUCUAGAACUCUUGAAUAAUGCAAUUUAAUGAACUCCCAGGUUGCUGAACACAUAAAGGUGCUGGGAGGGUAGUCGCCCAUCCAUGCCUUGCUCUAUGUAUGUAUUAGUUCAUUCUUGCAUUGCUAUAAGGAAACACUUGAGACUGGGUAAUUUAU
rnacentral:lncRNA from 1 species